rnacentral:RNase_P_RNA from 1 species
AGUUUGCCAGGCAGUCGCUUCGUUAAACGAAGAGGAAAGUCCGGGCUCCGAAGAGCAGAGUGCCAGGUAAUACCUGGGGGGCGUGAGCCUACGGAAAGUGCAGCAGAAAGUGUACCGCCAGCCUGGUAAGUUCAGGAAGGUAAGGGUGAAAAGGUGCGGUAAGAGCGCACCGCGCGACUGGUAACAGCUCGUGGCGAUGGUAAACCCCACUCGGAGCAAGACCAAAUAGAAAUCUAAUAGUGCGGCUCGUGCUGGAUUUGGGUAGGUUGCUUGAGCCUGUUGGUGACGACUGGCCUAGAUGAAUGACUGUCCAUGACAGAACCCGGCUUAUCGGCAAACUCUU